GCAGUCGUACGCUUCUUUUUCCACCGGAGCUUGCUCCACCGGAAAAAGAAGAGUGGCGAACGGGUGAGUAACACGUGGGUAACCUGCCCAUCAGAAGGGGAUAACACUUGGAAACAGGUGCUAAUACCGUAUAACAAUCGAAACCGCAUGGUUUUGAUUUGAAAGGCGCUUUCGGGUGUCGCUGAUGGAUGGACCCGCGGUGCAUUAGCUAGUUGGUGAGGUAACGGCUCACCAAGGCCACGAUGCAUAGCCGACCUGAGAGGGUGAUCGGCCACAUUGGGACUGAGACACGGCCCAAACUCCUACGGGAGGCAGCAGUAGGGAAUCUUCGGCAAUGGACGAAAGUCUGACCGAGCAACGCCGCGUGAGUGAAGAAGGUUUUCGGAUCGUAAAACUCUGUUGUUAGAGAAGAACAAGGAUGAGAGUAACUGUUCAUCCCUUGACGGUAUCUAACCAGAAAGCCACGGCUAACUACGUGCCAGCAGCCGCGGUAAUACGUAGGUGGCAAGCGUUGUCCGGAUUUAUUGGGCGUAAAGCGAGCGCAGGCGGUUUCUUAAGUCUGAUGUGAAAGCCCCCGGCUCAACCGGGGAGGGUCAUUGGAAACUGGGAGACUUGAGUGCAGAAGAGGAGAGUGGAAUUCCAUGUGUAGCGGUGAAAUGCGUAGAUAUAUGGAGGAACACCAGUGGCGAAGGCGGCUCUCUGGUCUGUAACUGACGCUGAGGCUCGAAAGCGUGGGGAGCAAACAGGAUUAGAUACCCUGGUAGUCCACGCCGUAAACGAUGAGUGCUAAGUGUUGGAGGGUUUCCGCCCUUCAGUGCUGCAGCUAACGCAUUAAGCACUCCGCCUGGGGAGUA
rnacentral:rRNA from 1 species